rnacentral:rRNA from 1 species
AAUCUAUAGAGGCGUUUUCCGCGCCGGACCGCGUCCAAGUCUCUUGGAAUAGAGUAUCAAAGAGGGUGACAAUCCCGUACUUGACGCGACAACCGGUGCUCUGUGAUACGUUCUCAAUGAGUCGAGUUGUUUGGGAAUGCAGCUCUAAAUGGGUGGUAAAUUCCAUCUAAGGCUAAAUAUUGGCGAGAGACCGAUAGCGAACAAGUACCGUGAGGGAAAGAUGAAAAGCACUUUGGAAAGAGAGUUAAACAGCACGUGAAAUUGUUAAAAGGGAAACGAUUGAAGUCAGUCGUGUGAAAGGUAUUCAGCCGUCUCUGGCGGUGUAUUUGCCUUUCACGGGUCAACAUCAGUUUGAUCCGGUAGAAAAAGGCAGGAGGAAGGUGGCACCCUCGGGUGUGUUAUAGCCUCUUGUCAUAUGUGCCGGACCAGCUCUGUGAACCGUUGACCUCCGGGUCUA